rnacentral:rRNA from 1 species
UACGUCAACAUCCUUAACGAAUUUAAUCCGUUCUAACCUUUUGACCGUACACUAUAAUACCAUAAGCAAGCUUUCGGCACCAGAGUGACAUGUCAGAGGCCAGGCGAAUAGCCCAUGAGGGUAUUCAUUGCAAUCCUCGAUCCCAUCCGUUACAUCUACCAAAGGCUAUAACACUUCAAUACGAGAUCGAAGCUACAUUCCUCCGGUCAUUUUAUAACGGUCGAAACCGACGUUGACCUACAAUACGAGAAAGUGCACCCAAAAAGAGCAGGUUGUGAAAAACAAAGGCACUCUGAAUCCCACAAUUCCACCCUCAAAAGGUUGAUUCCCCGUUAGUACGACUGACUUUAAUCGUUUCCCUUUCAACAAUUUCACGUACUGUUUAACUCUCUUUUCAAAGUUCUUUUCAUCUUUCCCUCACGGUACUUGUUCGCUAUCGGUCUCUCGCCUAUAUUUAGCCUUAGGAGAAAUUUACCUCCCAUUUUGAGCUGCAAUCCCAAACAACUCGACUCUUAGAAAACGUAUCGUAGAGCACAUUUGAUUAGGCCGGACGGGAUUCUCACCCUCCAUGAUACCCUAUCCCAAAGGAUUUGGGCUAAAUCAAACACGCAGAAAACGCUUCUUCAAAUUACAACUCGGUUAGGUAAGACCCAACAGAUUUAAAAUUUGAGCUAUUCCCUCUUCGCUCGCCGCUACUAGGGGAAUCAUUGUUAUUUUCUUUUCCUCCGCUUAUUGAUAUCG